AGGGCCCGGCUUCAUUCACAGAAUCACUGGCUCACUGCUAGCCUUUCCAUUCACACAAACAGCAUCUCAUUCACAUUUUGCUGUUUUUGUCUGCUUCUAAUGAAGAGCGGGGUUUGGGAAUGAUAGGGCGCUUUUGCUUCAGAUUUGGGGGGUCUCUGCUGACCACCACAAUCGGCGAUGGGGUGUGCACUUGCCGUUGCUAAACGAACCAGGGGAAGGGCAAGAAUGAGUGCCCGCGCCCAGGGAGGGAAGCGGCGGCCGCCCUGCGUGCCUGCAUCCCAGCGGCCGGCCUCACCUGCCUGCCAGGAGCCGCCCCACCUGCACCUGCUCCAUAAAGCUCUGCAAGGCUGGGUGCCUCGUGUGGCACAUGCCUAGUCGUGGGUGUGAGAAGGCAGGGCGCUAGAGAAGGCAGGUGAAUUCAUUUGCUUGCACAGAGUUGCCUGGAAAUUUGGACAGGGAGGUUCCGCUGUGUCAGGGUUGCAAAGCAGCAACAGAAGACACACUGAAAUGUAUCUGUAGCGUUUGGUAGACAUUUUUCCAGACCUUGAGCGCAUUCAGUUGGGAUAAAGCGUCAAGCCCAGCCCCCUUUCUGGAAUGGAUUUCUGGAGCCGGCUGCCAUUCCUGAGAAGUCCUCUUCUUUUCUGGAAGAAGUGAUUUGCAGCGUUCCCUGGGCCUUUGUUGAGAAGGGUCUCCUCUGGAGUGAGUCACGCUCUCGCAGUGCGCAGCCCGAGCCGCGGGGCGCUCCCCUUCGGAAGCGAUGACUGGAGCAGCGCGAGCGUGCCGCCCUCCGCAGCCGAGCGCGGGGCCGGGGCUGCGCGGACGCGGCGGCGCGGGCCGCUAGCGGGGAGGCGGCGCCGCUGUUCC